UACAGUAAACAUAUACAUGUAGUACUGUAUAUACUGUAUAUGUUGUUCUGUGUGACUCGGUGUUGUUUUGAUGACUCUCGCUGCUUCUUGCGGACCGUUUGCAGACUUUUUGCAGACU